UUCCGGUUGAUCCUGCCGGAGGUCACUGCUAUUGGGGUUCGGCUAAGCCAUGCGAGCGGAGGGCGCGGUCGCAAGAUCGUGGCCCCGCACACGGCUCAGUAACACGUAGUCAACCUACCCUUGGGACGGGGACAACGCCGGGAAACUGGCGAUAAUCCCCGAUAGGUGAGGGAUGCUGGGAUGCUUCUUCGCUCAAAGCUCCGGCGCCCGAGGAUGGGACUGCGGCCUAUCAGGCUGUUGGUGGUGUGACGGACCACCAAACCUACGACGGGUACGGGCGAUGGGAGUCGGAGCCUGGAGAUGGGGACUGAGACAAGGCCCCAGGCCCUACGGGGCGCAGCAGGCGCGAAAACUCCGCAAUGCGCGCAAGCGUGACGGGGGAACCCCAAGUGCCGUUGGUCUUUUGAUCGACGGCUUUUCGGAAGUCCAAUAAGCUUCCGGAAUAAGGGCUGGGUAAGACUGGUGCCAGCCGCCGCGGUAACACCAGCAGCCCAAGUGGUGGCCGCGAUUAUUGGGCCUAAAGCGCUCGUAGCCGGAUCAGCAAGUCCUUUGUGAAAUCGGACCGCCCAACGGUUCGGCGUGCAAAGGAUACUGUUGGUCUUGAGACCGGGAGAGGUCGGAGGUACUCUUGGGGUAGCGGUGAAAUGCUGUAAUCCUGGGGGGACCACCAGUGGCGAAGGCGUCCGACCAGAACGGAUCUGACGGUGAGGGGCGAAGGCUAGGGGAGCGAACGGGAUUAGAUACCCCGGUAGUCCUAGCUGUAAAGCAUGCGGGCCAGGUGUCUAGCGCUCCUUGAGGGCGCUAUGUGCCGGAGGGAAGCCGUUAAGCCCGCCGCCUGGGAAGUACGGCCGCAAGGCUGAAACUUAAAGAAAUUGGCGGGGGAGCACCACAAGGGGUGGAACCUGCGGUUCAAUUGGAUUCAACGCCGGG
rnacentral:rRNA from 1 species